rnacentral:lncRNA from 1 species
UCCCAUUCAAAUAUAUCAUUUCCUGCGAAAACACAUUGCCGCCAUCCCUCUAUGUCUUUCAGAAAAUAUUAUAAAAUUUCAAUUUAUAAAAGAAUAGAACCCCAAAAGGUGAAUCAGAUAUUCAGAUUACAAGAAAAAUAGAAACCUUCACCCUCUGCCUUCCAUCUCCGUUGCUGUCGCUCCUUGCAGAAGAAUCGGAUUACAAACUACUGAAAUGCUGCCAUUCACGCCUCUACCCAUUAAUCCAUUCUUCACUCCGGAUUCUUCUCUCUUUUUUAUUCUAUACGAUAGUAUCUGGUCUGGUGGUUCAUAUCUGUUGGGUUAAGGAGCUUCUGCAAUCAAGGGAGGAGGAUGUCGUAUCAGAUAUGAUAUUGACAGAUUACUCUGAUUGGAAAUGGAUGAGAAGAUAGGAAGAAAGUUUUUGAAUGUUUUGAAGAUUGUUGAGGAAGCGUUUUCUGUACAUGAGCAUUGAGGGAGCUCAUUAAGCUUAUCAAGGUUCUUAUCUUAUCUUUCUCAGUUUCCUCUUCCUUGUUUCCUUCUAACAAUGACCAAAUUUUAUUUUUUAUGAAUAGAUCUACAAGGAACCGUGAAGCUAUUGCAAUGUCUUUCCUUGUAGCAAAUGCAAUUGGUGCUCAUAUCAACGACCAUUGACUUUCUGCUGCCAUUCAUAUUAGCAUCAUUUGCUGCAAAUUUUCACUUUCACGGCUUCUCAAUACUUCGUUUCUCUGAAGUUAAUGUCAGCAUUCUUCGGCCAAAUCUAUAAGGACCGACUAGAAGAGAAUAGGGAUCUGUUAUCUGUCAGUCAAAGUACAUAGGCAUUUUGUUCUUGAGACUAGUUGGAGAUUUAAAUUGUGCAAUUGGGACUUUGUCUUCUCAAAUUUCUAUAGGCAGUAAGUAGUGAUUGUUCAUUCUUUUUUUUCCUUUUUUUUUUUUUUUUGGUUGUAUGUUAUAUUAUCUCUGGAAGAGGUGAUUAACUAGGAUCAAUGAAUCUGUAUCAAAUCUAAUUUUUGGACUGGUAAAUGAAUGGGCUG